rnacentral:rRNA from 1 species
CAUGAGCUCGAAGUGUGGGUUUCAAACAGGAUUAGAUACCCUGUAGUCCACACGGUAACGAUGAAUACUCGCUGUUUGCGAUAUACAGCAAGCGGCCAAGCGAAAGCGUUAAGUAUUCCACCUGGGGAGUACGCCGGCAACGGUGAAACUCAAAGGAAUUGACGGGGGCCCGCACAAGCGGAGGAACAUGUGGUUUAAUUCGAUGAUACGCGAGGAACCUUACCCGGGCUUAAAUUGCAGAUGAAUUACGGUGAAAGCCGUAAGCCGCAAGGCAUCUGUGAAGGUGCUGCAUGGUUGUCGUCAGCUCGUGCCGUGAGGUGUCGGCUUAAGUGCCAUAACGAGCGCAACCCUUGUUGUCAGUUACUAACAGGUUCCGCUGAGGACUCUGACAAGACUGCCAUCGUAAGAUGUGAGGAAGGUGGGGAUGACGUCAAAUCAGCACGGCCCUUACGUCCGGGGCUACACACGUGUUACAAUGGGGGGUACAGAGGGCCGCUACCACGCGAGUGGAUGCCAAUCCCAAAAACCUCUCUCAGUUCGGACUGGAGUCUGCAACCCGACUCCACGAAGCUGGAUUCGCUAGUAAUCGCGCAUCAGCCACGGCGCGGUGAAUACGUUCCCGGGCCUUGUACACACCGCCCGUCAAGCCAUGGGAGCCGGGGGUACCUGAAGUGCGUAACCGCGAGGAGCGCCCUAGGGUAAAACUGGUGACUGGGGCUAAGUCGUAACAAGGU